GCAGGUCACUCAAGAGUAAUUGCCAAGAAUGUAUGAUGUGAUGGACCAUGUGGAGGAAGAUUGAGGAGGCAGAGAAAUGACAUCAAUUAAUCUGGUCAGGAGGGAGAUUUGCUCCAUGUGGAUGUCUAGAUGGAUAACAUUGAUUUUGUGGGAAUGACAGUCCACUAGAAACCUGAAGGGCACUGAGGAGAUGCUUCUCUGCCUUCUCCUGGGAAGCUUUCGCUGAAGACACAGACCUCACACCUAGCUGGUGGUAUUGUAAUUUGAGGGGCUUCCUGCCUUUUAAUUUUAAUUAUUAUUUUCUUGUGUGUGAAACUCAGCUAAGUUUUUAUGUUUCUGUGCAUUAGCAUGU